rnacentral:rRNA from 1 species
GACGAACGCUGGCGGCGUGCUUAACACAUGCAAGUCGAGCGGUAAGGCCCUUUCGGGGGUACACGAGCGGCGAACGGGUGAGUAACACGUGAGUAAUCUGCCCUUCACUUCGGGAUAACCAUCGGAAACGAUGGCUAAUACCGGAUAUGACACCUUCUUGCAUGAGAUGGGUGUGGAAAGUUUUUCGGUGGAGGAUGUGCUCGCGGCCUAUCAGCUUGUUGGUGAGGUAAUGGCUCACCAAGGCUUCGACGGGUAGCCGGCCUGAGAGGGUGACCGGCCACACUGGGACUGAGACACGGCCCAGACUCCUACGGGAGGCAGCAGUGGGGAAUAUUGGACAAUGGGCGAAAGCCUGAUCCAGCAACGCCGCGUGAGGGAUGACGGCCUUCGGGUUGUAAACCUCUUUCAGCUCCGACGAAGCGCCUUUGUAAGGUUGUGACGGUAGGUGCAGAAGAAGGACCGGCCAACUACGUGCCAGCCGCCGCGGUAACAC